rnacentral:rRNA from 1 species
CCUACGGGUGGCUGCAGUGGGGAAUAUUGGACAAUGGGCGAAAGCCUGAUCCAGCAAUGCCGCGUGAGUGAUGAAGGCCUUAGGGUUGUAAAGCUCUUUUACCAGGGAUGAUAAUGACAGUACCUGGAGAAUAAGCUCCGGCUAACUCCGUGCCAGCAGCCGCGGUAAUACGGAGGGAGCUAGCGUUGUUCGGAAUUACUGGGCGUAAAGCGCACGUAGGCGGCUUUUUAAGUCAGAGGUGAAAUCCCGGGGCUCAACCCCGGAACUGCCUUUGAAACUGGGAAGCUAGAAUCUUGGAGAGGCGAGUGGAAUUCCGAGUGUAGAGGUGAAAUUCGUAGAUAUUCGGAAGAACACCAGUGGCGAAGGCGACUCGCUGGACAAGUAUUGACGCUGAGGUGCGAAAGCGUGGGGAGCAAACAGGAUUAGAUACCCCAGUAGUC